rnacentral:rRNA from 1 species
UGAGGGAAUAUUUGGGUCAAUGGACGGGAGUCUGAACCAGCCAAGUAGCGUGCAGGAUGACGGCCCUAUGGGUUGUAAACUGCUUUUAUAGGGGGAUAAAGUGUGCCACGUGUGGCAUAUUGCAGGUACCCUAUGAAUAAGGACCGGCUAAUUCCGUGCCAGCAGCCGCGGUAAUACGGAAGGUCCGGGCGUUAUCCGGAUUUAUUGGGUUUAAAGGGAGCGUAGGCCGUCUUAUAAGCGUGUUGUGAAAUGUCGGGGCUCAACCUGGGCAUUGCAGCGCGAACUGUGAGACUUGAGUGCGCAGGAAGUAGGCGGAAUUCG